AUUGAACGCUGGCGGCAUGCCUUACACAUGCAAGUCGAACGGCAGCACGGGUGCUUGCACCUGGUGGCGAGUGGCGAACGGGUGAGUAAUACAUCGGAACGUACCUUAUCGUGGGGGAUAACGCAGCGAAAGCUGUGCUAAUACCGCAUACGCCCUGAGGGGGAAAGCGGGGGAACGCAAGACCACGCGCGAUUAGAGCGCCCAAUGCCUGAGUAGCUUGUUGGUGGGGUAAAAGGCCACCAAGGCGACGAUCAGUAGCUGGUCUGAGAGGACGAUCAGCCACACUGGGAAUGAGACACGGCCCAGACUCCUACGGGAGGCAGCAGUGGGGAAUUUUGGACAAUGGGGGCAACCCUGAUCCAGCAAUGCCGCGUGAGUGAAGAAGGCCUUCGGGUUGUAAAGCUCUUUUGUCAGGGAAGAAACACCGGCUCUAACACAGUCUGGGAAUGACGGUACCUGAAGAAUAAGCACCGGCUAACUACGUGCCAGCAGCCGCCGUAA
rnacentral:rRNA from 1 species